AGGGGGCAAAGGGUCUCGCCGGGCCGGCGUGUGUAGCGAGACGGGCGCGGUGGUGCGCUUUAGUGGCCGAGGCGAGUCGAGGAGCGAGGCGAGACCAGCAGCGCCGGUCGUGAGCGUGGUAAGCGUGGCGCGGGCGUGCGUAAGCGUGCGCCACUCCGUCGACUUGCACCGCGUCGGCCCUUCGACCGGCGCCGGCGCCGCCUCGCUGCGGCCGUUCACUGCGGGCGAAUAACGCCUGGAGUACCGUGGUCGCCCUGCUCACUCCUCAGGUCGACAUGCACUGGCGGCCCCCCUCCGGCGAGACGGGCGACCCGGGGUCGGCGGGCUGUGGAUCGCGGCUUCGCCCGGGGACCGGGCCAGGCUCAGCCGCGGGCAGCACCGCGGGGAACUUGGGGGCGGGCACGGACGUGGAGGAGGGGAGUAUUUCUAGUGAGGAUGAGGGCGGUAACUCCGGUGCGGACGAGCCGGCAGUGCGGAGCACGCAGGCGCAGCUGGUCUGGAGCCUGGAAGACAUGCUGGCGAGCCUCAGGCUGCAGGUGGACGGCGAGGACUGGCUGAGCGCCCACGGCAUCGCCGAC